UGGAUCACAUUUAUGUAUGAAGGAUUCUAUCCAAACUUUGAAAUGUCUUUUGACUUUAUAUUUUAAAAUGUGCAUGCAUGUGCAUUCAUGAAUGAGAGAGAAAUGAUGAAUGUUAGAUCAUUGGGUUAGAACCAAACACAGUGUGGGCAGCUCUGCUGCAAGCUUUGUUAUUACAGUUUGGGCCUGACAUAUGAGUUGGAAAAU
rfam:Choloepus hoffmanni cont1.19219, whole genome shotgun sequence.